GUUCUAAAAUUUGACUUCCUUAACCUCUUUUCUUUUUUGUUUUGCUUUCCAGGCUCCCACAGAUUGCAAGUCCUCCGGUGGAGCCAGCAUCCAAGAAAAGGAAAUUAUCAGAUGCGCCAGUGGAAGCAGAAGAAGAUUACACCAAGUUUAAUACUAGUGAUCUGAAAAACAAAAAGGCAAACAGUAAGAUGUCAGCUGCUCAAAAGGCCCUGGCAAAAGUUGACAAGAGUGGCAUGAAAACAAUGUCUUCUUUCUUUAGUUCAAAAACUAAAACAACAAAAUGAGACUUUUGAUACAGUAAUUAUUUUUGUAUAGGCCAGCUUCUUUUUCACUUCUUCCCUUCCUCCCCCCCCCUCCUCCGAAGUUUUCAUAUAUCCCUUUACUUAAAGUUAAGGCUCAAAAGUAGAAACAGUACUGUGAAAGUUAAUAUUGUGUAAAACAAAGUCCGGAUAGCCUAUUGUAGUUCCCACUGGGAAAACUCAUUUUGGUAAUUUAUCAUAUCAGCCAAUAUGCUUGUUUAUUCAGCACUGUUAAGCUAUAAGGUGCACAUUGCAAUGUAAUGAGGUAAAAUAAAUUUCUGAAACAGA